rnacentral:rRNA from 1 species
AUGGUUCCAAAGAAAGAUGAUGGAGCAAUGCUUGCCUGGGCCAUCAAAGUGCCAAAAUGUGUCAGGCCCGCAAUACUGAAGAAGCUCUGUGCAAACCUAGAGAAGCUCAGAUCUCCUGACAGUGCACAUGUUCAGCCAGACAAUCGUAAGAGAAUUCAUGAGGAGCAAGGUCACUUUCUUCCCAAGGCCAUCACAUCACUGUCCGAUGCUGACAGUGAGCGAAUGAAGCAGUACGGUUGGGCCUGCUACGAUCUACCUACGUGCUCACAUGUAAUUCUGGUGUGGCACAUUGCAACCAGCCUCUGUGAGAUGAAGCUUGCUCAAGACCAUAAUGUCGACUUAAGCAAACAUGGGUUGCUGAACUCCGUCUUGUCAUACUUCGCAAGUUGCUGCACAUUGAAACCAUAUCUUUUGGAUGUGGAUGAGAAGACGAAAGAAAAGAAGAAAGUGAAUGAGAAGUUGCCUCACAAGCUCCAGGAAAUGUACAUCACUGCGAAUAGCUUGUCUCGAUAUUGUGCAUAUCUGCUAGUUUCAAAGCCCGACCUGAUCCCUGACAGCUUUUAUGUACCCAAGAUGGUCUUACAAGAAACCGUGGCGCACGCUCGUGAUCAUAUUCUUAAAAACUGCGACUCAUUGCAGAGCAGGUAUGACAAACUGAUGGAAGAAGCAGUGAAGGCCAUUCAAGAUGCCGACAGCGUCAUGAAGAGUGAAGAUGUUGUGCGACUGGGCGCAAAGCUGGGCAAGGAACUGAUUGAUCAAGAGACUCAAGAAGAAUGCUGGGAGAUCCUGUCUGGGGUAUGGGCAGAUUUACUAGUGCACCUUGCCCCUACUUGGAACGCAGAGGCGCACAAGGAGUGCCUCGAGUCAGGAGGGGAAUUCAUAACCUAUAUCUGGGCACUGCUAUGGCAUUGUGGAAUCGAGAAGAGCAAACUAUGGCCAGUGGAAGGCGUGUGUGGAAAUGAUGCCCCUGGAACACCACCUGAGGACAACAGUGUUCGAAAUAAUAGCGUUCAGCAUUCCCAGCAGAGCUGUGUAGCAGGACCGAAGGAAGAAAGAGAGGAAGCUGACAUACAGAGACCAGAGAUCCAACAAGUUGAAACGCUAAGUGCAGAUACGGCUGGUCAUCCGAAUGGGCAAAGUGGCAAUGCGGCGGUUAGAGGGAUGCGGAAUGGAGGGAACACAUGUUACUUCAAUGCAGUGUUGCAGAGUCUCCUUGCACUUGAUAAGCUGCGUGCAAGGAUGUUAGGAUCGGAUGCUCUGACAGGGGACCUUGGUCAGGAACUGCAGAAGCUCUUCAUAAUAACAGCCAAUACCAAUGACACUGGAAGUGUGCUGACGCCAGAGAAGCUCUUCUCAUAUAUGUGCAAAAGGAAUUCAGAUUUCAGAACUGGCAUGAUGGAAGAUAGCAAUAAUAUGCUUGGUUCCUUGAUAGACGGUUUGAAGAAUGAGGAACGUACAAUGGUUGAGUCACUCUUCCGCAGUGAGGUCGUUAAACAUGUUCACAGCAAAAAGUGUGAGCACACAUCGGUUACCACCGGCUGCGAGUACCUUGAUCUCAGUUUGGCAAUACCACCAAACCGGCCUGCAUCAAUCGAGGAGUGCUUGGACUUCUAUGCCACUGGGGAGAUCGAGGAUUGGCACUGUAUGGACUGUUCAGCUGCUGCUGCUUCUUCUGGAAAUUCAUCUUUGAACCAAGAAGAUACAUCAGACUAUUAUCAUGGACAACCUGAACAGUCAGAGAACAAAACAUACGGAAAGGGGGAAUCCAGCCAUCAAGCUGACAAACAAACAAGAAUACCGAAUCAGAACAGCGGAAAGCCACCGAUGCUUGAUGGGAACUCAAGUCAA